rnacentral:rRNA from 1 species
AACAUCUUUGCGUCGACCUCCAAGGUUCAGGUGGGUGACGGUCUUCGUGCCUCCUUCUGGGAGUCAGCUUGGCUAGAUGGCAUCAGACCCAAAGAUAUUGCUCCCAAAAUUUACGACAUCUCCAAAAAGAAGAACUCUUCCAUUCAUAAGGCUUUGCUCAAUGGCUUCUGGAUCUCCCAGGCCUCUGAGCACAUCGUCCAGUUUGUUGCGCUUUGGGACGGACUCACCCACAUUCAGUUAAACCCAGACAUGCCAGAUUCCAUCACUUGGAAACUCACUACCAAUGGCCACUAUUCUGCAGCCUCGGCAUACAGGGCUCAGUUUCUUGGCUUGGUGGACACGGAUAUGAAUCAAAAUGUGUGGAAGAACUAG